CCCUUAGAUGUUCUGGGCCGCACGCGCGCUACACUGAUGCAUUCAACGAGUGUACCUUGGCCGAGAGGCCUGGGCAAUCUUUUGAACGUGCAUCGUGAUAGGGAUAGAUUAUUGCAAUUAUUAAUCUUGAACGAGGAAUUCCUAGUAAACGCAGAUCAUCAAUCUGCAUUGAUUACGUCCCUGCCCUUUGUACACACCGCCCGUCACACCUACCGAUUGGAUGGUCCGGUGAAGCCUCGGGAUUGUGGCGGUUGCCUUUAUUGGUGGCCGCCGCGAGAACUUGUCUAAACCUUAUCAUCUAGAGGAAGGUGAAGUCGUAACA
rnacentral:rRNA from 1 species